rnacentral:rRNA from 1 species
AAUAGGGGAGAUCCUAAUUUUGCUUGUUUUGAGACACCAGGAAAUUAAGCGCAUGUCUGAUUUUUUUUUUUAAAAUCAAACUAUGAUUUUGUUUGGGAAUUAGGUUAAUUAACUUUGAUUUUUAUACAUUUAUUAGGCUAAAAGAGUUUUUUGAGUAGUAAUUAGUUUUGCCUUAUCUAUUAAUAGUAGGAUGCAGCGAUAGUUUUAUUAACUCCGACAAAUAUUUGUGCCAGCAGUUGCGGUUAUACAAAAGGAGUGUCUUAAUUUAUGCGGUUUUAGUUAAUUGUUUGAGUUAAUUUAUAAAAUUUAUACUGGGGGGUGAAAUUUUAGUGUGAAAUUUUAAUUUAUUAGUUGAUUGAUCUAUUAAAAUUUUAUUUUAAACCAGGAUUAGAUACCCUGCUAUUGGAAUAUAUUCUAUUAAAACCGGGUUAGUAUCAGUUAAUCACUUGAAAAUUAAAUAUCUUGGCGGUACCCCAACCUAUCAGAGGAACCUGUUCUGUAAUUGAUAAUUCACGAUUUACCUUACUUUUGCUAUUGCUUGUAUAUCGUUGUUGCUAUGAAAAUUUUUUUAAAAUUCUAAUUUUCUUAAUGUAUAAUUUUAUUCUAGAUCAAAUCAAGGUGCAGCUUUCAAGAGAAGAAAUGGGUUACGUUAAAAUUUUUUAAAUUGUAAAUUUAUUAGAGUCAGGAUUUGGUAGUAAUUUUAUUGAUUAAAAUAAAAUAAAUCGGGCUCUGGGGUAUGUACAUAUCGCCCGUCGCUUUUGUGUAUAUAUACAAAAUAAGUCGUAACAUAGUAGAUUUAUCGGAAGAUGGCUCUAGAAUGAC